GUAUACGAGUAAUUGCGAAAAAGAUUGAAAAAAUGAAUCGCAAAAAACCAUCUCGAUUUUUGGAAUCCUCAGAGACUAUACGUCGAACUCCGACACAAUGUCGGAGAAGAUAUAGUCCGACCUCUAUGGCGACAUAGAG
rnacentral:autocatalytically_spliced_intron from 2 species